CCUACGGGGGGCAGCAGUGAGGAAUAUUGGUCAAUGGCCGUAAGGCUGAACCAGCCAAGUAGCGUGAGGGAAGACUGCCCUAUGGGUUGUAAACCUCUUUUAUGCGGGGAUAAAGGUGUCCACGUGUGGAUGUUUGCAGGUACCGCAUGAAUAAGGACCGGCUAAUUCCGUGCCAGCAGCCGCGGUAAUAAGGAAGGUCCGGGCGUUAUCCGGAUUUAUUGGGUUUAAAGGGAGCGUAGGCCGGUCUUUAAGCGGGCCGGGAAAUUUUGUGGCUCAACCAUGAGAGUGCGGCGCGAACUGGAGACCUUGAGUGCGCGGAAGGCAGGCGGAAUUCGUGGUGUAGCGGUGAAAUGCUUAGAUAUCACGAAGAACCCCGAUUGCGAAGGCAGCCUGCCGCAGCGUUACUGACGCUGAAGCUCGAAAGCGCGGGUAUCGAACAGGAUUAGAUACCCCUGUAGUC
rnacentral:rRNA from 1 species